rnacentral:rRNA from 1 species
GAAGUGUGGACGCCAGUCUGCAUGGAGCCGGCCUUGAAAUACCACCCUUUAAUGUUUGAUGUUCUAACGUGGACCCGUAAUCCGGGUUGCGGACAGUGUCUGGUGGGUAGUUUGACUGGGGCGGUCUCCUCCUAAAGAGUAACGGAGGAGCACGAAGGUUGGCUAAUCCUGGUCGGACAUCAGGAGGUUAGUGCAAUGGCAUAAGCCAGCUUGACUGCGAGCGUGACGGCGCGAGCAGGUGCGAAAGCAGGUCAUAGUGAUCCGGUGGUUCUGAAUGGAAGGGCCAUCGCUCAACGGAUAAAAGGUACUCCGGGGAUAACAGGCUGAUACCGCCCAAGAGUUCAUAUCGACGGCGGUGUUUGGCACCUCGAUGUCGGCUCAUCACAUCCUGGGGCUGAAGUAGGUCCCAAGGGUAUGGCUGUUCGCCAUUUAAAGUGGUACGCGAGCUGGGUUUAGAACGUCGUGAGACAGUUCGGUCCCUA